rnacentral:lncRNA from 1 species
UUUUUCAGUAUCCAUUUUGGGUUAGUUACACUCCACUAGAAAAACAUAAGUACUAAAUAUUACCCUACUAGAGAAAGCCACAACUUCCUUUUUCAAAUCAUUACAGAACACACAAUUUUUUAAGUCGGCAUGUACAAUAUCUUUUGUUUUUAUGUUGACACACUCAGAUGUCGACACACACCUAUUGACACAAACCAGUAAAUUUUAUAUAUUUUUCCAACGUUUUUUUUUUUUUGACAUCUGAUAUUAUUAACAAAGCUCAAAGCUCAAAAGACCAAGUUUCGAAGUCUUUGAACUGAUGACA